ACAAAAUCCAUUAAUUAAAUACUGCUGAUGGUGUUUCUUGACCCACUAUUACUUUCAUACUCUAGAUGGCAGCAGCAUCACAAAAUACAGAAAACUGAGAUUCAUUGUAUUCCUGCUGUGCCCAAAUAUGCAGCCACUUCAAGUUUUUGGAGGUUAAAGUUGGAGAGGUCAAAAUGCAGAUUUCCUGAAAGCAUUUUCCCAUCACAAAAGAAGAAAAAAAAAGCUGAGGGUGGCUGUUAAAUAUCAUCUGCAAUUAGAGGUAAAUCACUUCAUGUGUUCAGUCUUGAAAUUUUAAGUCUUUGCAUAUAUCGGUUCAGAGGAACUUCAUAUGAGUAUGUCUGGUGAAAGGACUGUGAGGUGAAAAGAAGGCAUUUGCUUUAGAUUACACAAAGUUUUGGUAAAACCUUUUUUGAGUAUUAUUUGACUGAAAAGCAUCACAGGUUCCAGCUGAGCAGGAGGCUGAUGCAGAGGUCGCAGCAGGAGGGACUGGAGGUGGAACCACACAACCUCAGCUCCUCGGAUGGAGACAAGGCCCCGAUGGGAUGGAAAGCUCAAGGAGUCCAGGAAUGUCUUCCUAUCCAAAUUGUUACCUGCUUGUCACUCGGAAGAAGAGGUGAAUGAAUGCAAGAAGCAGGUGGUGAUGCUGGUACUGUGCUGCUCCUCCAGCCUUCCUUCCCAGCCCAGGGAGAAGCCCCUGUGCUGGGGUGCACAGGCUGCUCCCAAGCUCUGCAGUCAGAUGUGCUGAGGUUGCUAUUUUCUGGUGAGUACCGCGUGCUGCUUGGCCUGUGAAGCGUGCUACCAGCUUUUUGUCUUGGUGGUCCUUUCUAACAUGGUGG
rnacentral:lncRNA from 1 species